CUGGAGAAAAAGCCCAUGUGAGCUUUCUUCUCUGAUGAAGCGAUGGUGAUAGUCUUGUCACUGGAGGAAACUGGUGCACCACAAGAUAAACUAGAGAUGAUUCUGGAGAAAAAGCCCUUGUGAGCGUUCUUCUCUGAUGAAGCGAUGGUGAUAGUCUUGUCACUGGAGGAAACUGGUGCACCACAAGAUAAACUAGAGAUGAUUCUGGAGAAAAAGCCCUUGUGAGCGUUCUUCUCUGAUGAAGCGAUGGUGAUAGUCUUGUCACUGGAGG